AUGUACAUUCCUACAACAUAGCGUUAAUGCACCAGAUCCCAUUAGAACUCUGUAGUUAAGCGUGCUUGGAAUAGAGUAGUACUGAGAUCGGUGACCGCCCGGGAAGUCCUAAUGUUUUACAUG
rfam:Picea glauca, whole genome shotgun sequence.